UGAUCAUGGCUCAGAUUGAACGCUGGCGGUAUGCUUAACACAUGCAAGUCGAACGGAAACGAUGGAAGCUUGCUUCCAGGCGUCGAGUGGCGGACGGGUGAGUAACGCGUAGGAAUCUGCCAGAUAGUGGGGGAUAGCCCGGAGAAAUCCGGAUUAAUACCGCAUAAUCUCCAUGGAGUAAAGAGGGCCUCUAUUUAUAAGCUUUCGCUAUCUGAUGAGCCUGCGUAAGAUUAGCUAGUUGGUGGGGUAAUGGCCUACCAAGGCGACGAUCUUUAGCUGGUCUGAGAGGAUGAUCAGCCACACUGGGACUGAGACACGGCCCAGACUCCUACGGGAGGCAGCAGUGGGGAAUAUUGGACAAUGGGGGCAACCCUGAUCCAGCAAUACCGCGUGUGUGAAGAAGGCCUGAGGGUUGUAAAGCACUUUCAAUUGUGAAGAAAAGUUAAUAGUUAAUACCUAUUAGCCUUGACGUUAACUUUAGAAGAAGCACCGGCUAACUCCGUACCAGCAGCCGCGGUAAUACGGAGGGUGCAAGCGUUAAUCGGAAUUACUGGGCGCAAAGCGUGCGUAGGCGGUUGACUAAGUCAGAUGUGAAAGCCCCGGGCUUAACCUGGGAACUGCAUUUGAAACUGGUCAACUAGAGUAUGGUAGAGGAAAGUGGAAUUUCUGGUGUAGCGGUGAAAUGCGUAGAUAUC
rnacentral:rRNA from 1 species